CUGAAAAACACAGCUGUUCUGUAUUUGGGUGCUUUAGGCACAGUACUCCCACUCAGCACUAGCUGUCUGCAUUGUCUCUCUAGUAUCUCUCUGAUUGCCCUUAAGGUUAACAAAUUCAUGACUAGUGAUAUGGUUGCAAAUACAACUGCAAUCCUCAGGGUGUGAAUGAGGUCAGGAUUCCAGAUAUGCAUUAGUAAAAGAGUUAGUGAUAAAUCUAAAUGAAGAAAGGCAGACAAGGAAGCAUUUUUAUGUGUAUUUUAUUAAUGAAAUGUUGAGAUAAGAGACUCUCAGGAUGAGUCUGUGACCGUGAGUGGACAAUGAGCAAACUUGUCAACACAGGAAGACAAAAAGCUUAGCCCUGCUUUAUCCUUCAGGGCAAGCUGAAAGGAUAGAACAGGAAACCACAUUGGAUGCUUUCACUUUCUGCAAGGACAGAAAGGCAGUGAAGAAAACUGACAGUUGGAAAAAUGAGAUGAACUACUUAGUAAUUUUCAGCUCUUAAAUAAUUGCCAUGAUGCUGAGAAAAGCUUCUUCUUCAGAUGAGUUCCAUCUACAACUGAUUCUUAGACUGACAACCAAGGGCAAUAGAAACCUACAGAACUGUGACUCAUCUUUGAAGAAGUUUUCAGUGCUGAAACCCUACCAAGAUGCUUUUCUCAUAGAAGACACUACUUUGUCCCUUUCACAAGGACAAAUAGAAAUCAACAGUACAUAAGUCAAAAACACAAAUAGAAAAGCAGUAAUUCAGUAUUUUGACAUACUUGUCUAAAAAUGAAUAAAAACUCUUUUACUGAGUUAAACCA
rnacentral:lncRNA from 1 species